rnacentral:rRNA from 1 species
GGCUAAAUACUCCUGACUGACCGAUAGUGAACCAGUACCGUGAGGGAAAGGCGAAAAGAACCCCGGCGAGGGGAGUGAAACAGAACCUGAAACCGUGUACGUACAAGCAGUGGGAGCCUUCUUUAUGAGGGUGACUGCGUACCUUUUGUAUAAUGGGUCAGCGACUUAUAUUCUGUAGCAAGGUUAACCGCAUAGGGGAGCCGCAGGGAAACCGAGUCUUAACUGGGCGUUAAGUUGCAGGGUAUAGACCCGAAA